UUGCCUUGGGCAGACGAGAUCCCGGAAUAAAGUCGGGACGCGGCUAAAUUUUAACUAUAGCCAAAUGCUAUAAAAUUGUGUGUUAGCUCUAAAAAAAAGUCAUUAGAAAAACGCGAGUAUUCAAGUGAACUUUUAGAUCUACUUUGAUUUAAUUCUUGUAGCAAACUCCCCCGGAAAAGUAGUGCAAGUGAAAAGAGUAAUUGAAAGCUUUAGACAAACUUGGGAUUUUUACACAGUAGAUGCUGAAGGUCGAUUCAGAAAGCAUGAAUGCAGUGGAGACGUCUUUGAAGCCUGAAAAUGACGUCAGCGACGAUAACGACGUUGAAAACAAUGCGGAACAUCAAGAUGUCGAUGAUCCUGAUGAUGAUGAUGAGCCUCAAUAUGUAGAAGAAAAGGAUGUUAAGGAAGAAGUGGAUGUUAAAAUAGAACCUAAAGAUAAGGUGGUUGAUGAAGAUGGAGAUACUCUGGAAGAGACAUAUGAAAUCACCACUACUCGGCGUAAAACCACAACAACGAGGUACAAGAUCCAAGAAACUUCGGCGUCACAUAAAACAACAACAAUGACAACAGCAGCAAAGCUGUAUGGCAAAGAUCUCAGUGAAUAUGAUGACGUUGAUGUGGAUGAACUUUUGUCACAACUGACAGAUGAGGAAAUUAAUAUUUUAGCAAAGGAGGUUGACCCUGAUGAUAGUUUUAUGCCACCAUCGCAAAGAUGCAGUUAUGAGUGCAAUAAGAGUCCAACGGGGCCAUUGAACCGUAAGAAGCUGAUUGAACACAUUAAUAAACAAGCUCUUGAAACUCCAGAUAUUCCUGAACUGAAACCUUACGUACCUGGAGUAAUUAGAGGCAAAAAAUGGGUUCCACCUCCUCAAGACAACAUCAAAGAAAAAGAAGCAGAAGAACAAAUUUCUAUAGAUUUAGGCGAAGAAUAUGAACAAGCUUUAUCUACGGCCACUCAAGAUGAAAUUAUUGACUUGGCAGCUAUUCUUGGAUUCCACUCGAUGAUGAAUCAAGAUCAGUAUCAUGCAUCACUCUUAAACUCUGGUCAGCCUGUUGGUCUCGGUUGGGAUGGAAUCACCAAAGCAAGUCAACCUAAGGCUUAUCCUAUGGAACCACCUAAUGAUACAGAUGUUGAUGCCUCUAUCAAACAAGUUCGUGAGGAUGAUCAUACACUUAUUGACCUCAACCUAAAUAACAUCAAAAAUAUAUCUGAUGAACAAUUCAACAAAUUAUUUGAAGCCCUAGAGCAAAAUACACAUUUGGAAUCGUUGAGUUUAACUAAUGUAGGUUUAACUGAUAAAACAGCGCAGAGGUUGGCUGAAGCAAUGGAGAAAAAUUCAACACUGCGUAUUUUAAAUGUUGAAACAAACUUUAUCAGUCCCCCUGUAAUGGUGAGACUUAUCAGAGCUCUAUUAAAGACAAAAUCAAUUGAAGAAUUCCGAUGCUCGAAUCAGAGAUCACAAGUUUUGGGUAACAAGAUUGAAAUGGAAAUAACACAAUUGGUGGAACAAAAUCCUACUCUUCUACGAUUAGGUCUUCAUCUCGAGUUUAAUGACGCAAGACAUCGUGUUGCAGCACACCUGCAGCGUAAUAUCGAUAGGAAUGGAAGCCAAUGUAUGGGAGAUUAUGGGGAAUACAAAUACAAAUACUUCUAAGUCUUCAUUAUUCACUUCGUAGUCUAUCAUAGAGCUUUAAACUAGCCAAUUCAUCAUUUCAUCAAAACUUUUUUUUUCAUCUUAGCUUUAUUUACUUUUUUUAUUUUUGCUAGCGGUAUUGAGUCUGUCGUGUGGAAGCUUUGGAACGUGCAAAGAUUGUAGCAAUAGGUUCGGGUCCUGCAGGAUUUACUGUAAUCCAAAUAGAAGAUAAAAAAGAAACAAUUUAGCGCUCUUUUAUUUAUAGCGCAUACGGCAAUCUCGUCUCGGGGUCGCGACAUCUUCAUCUGACGUCCGCAUGUCUAGAUCAGCUAAUGAAGAAGAUUCUACGCAACAAAAUAAUUGGUCUGAACACAAUCAAGACACGGUAAAAGCAUCGGAUAAUGAAGA
rnacentral:misc_RNA from 1 species